UAUAACUGCACUUUAUAACGUUCUCUCUGCUGUACUUUAAAAAUGUUCAUGGUAUUAGUGUUAUUAUCAGCUGUGUUACUUGCUAGUGACAGUGCCCCUCCACCAAUACCGACUGGGGUACCAAUACCAACUAACACGCCGGACCCGACCGCUACCACUCCUAAACCAACAAAGCCUACUCCCAAACCUACUACACAGAGUCCUAAUCCUAAACCUUGUGAGGACUCCAACUCUGUGACCUGCCGGGCUGGACAGUGUUGGUUCCCUUACGAUGAGUUCUGCCCCAAAACAUGCGGACUUUGCGAUUAGGAGAUAUGUGCUGAUACGAGAUACAAGGUUAACGUGGAUAUUGUUGAGCUCCAGGGAUAUCUUUCUAGUUGACAAUCUAUACGAUUUUACUAUUCUACUUAUCGGGGUGUAAUAAA